UACGUAGGGUGCGAGCGUUGUCCGGAAUUAUUGGGCGUAAAGGGCUCGUAGGCGGUUUGUCGCGUUGUCCGUGAAAACUCACAGCUUAACUGUGGGCGUGCGGGCGAUACGGGCAGACUGGAGUACUGCAGGGGAGACUGGAAUUCCUGGUGUAGCGGUGGAAUGCGCAGAUAUCAGGAGGAACACCGGUGGCGAAGGCGGGUCUCUGGGCAGUAACUGACGUGAGGUGACGAAAGCGUGGGGAGCAAACAGG
rnacentral:rRNA from 1 species